rnacentral:sRNA from 2 species
CGUGUCAGAUCGCUGAAUCCCAAUACGUAUGGGAGCGGGGGAUCCAAUAUCGGGGUGAAUCUCAUUCGAGAAGGGCGACUCUUACGUCCUAACCCGUCAGCUAACCUCGUAAGCGUCCUAGAGAGGAUAC